rnacentral:rRNA from 1 species
UACGGAGGGUGCAAGCGUUAAUCGGAAUUACUGGGCGUAAAGCGCGCGUAGGCGGUUUUUUAAGUCGGAUGUGAAAGCCCCGGGCUCAACCUGGGAACUGCAUCCGAUACUGGAAGACUAGAAUGCGGGAGAGGGAGGUAGAAUUCCAUGUGUAGCAGUGAAAUGCGUAGAUAUAUGGAGGAAUACCAGUGGCGAAGGCGGCCUCCUGGCUCGACAUUGACGCUGAGGUGCGAAAGCGUGGGGAGCAAANGGG